rnacentral:rRNA from 1 species
AUUGAACGCUGGCGGCAUGCCUUACACAUGCAAGUCGAACGGUAACAGGUCUUCGGAUGCCGACGAGUGGCGAACGGGUGAGUAAUACAUCGGAACGUGCCCGAGAGUGGGGGAUAACGAGGCGAAAGCUUUGCUAAUACCGCAUACGAUCUCAGGAUGAAAGCAGGGGACCGCAAGGCCUUGCGCUCACGGAGCGGCCGAUGGCAGAUUAGGUAGUUGGUGGGAUAAAAGCUUACCAAGCCGACGAUCUGUAGCUGGUCUGAGAGGACGACCAGCCGCACUGGGACUGAGACACGGCCCAGACUCCUACGGGAGGCAGCAGUGGGGAAUUUUGGACAAUGGGCGCAAGCCUGAUCCAGCCAUGCCGCGUGCAGGAUGAAGGCCUUCGGGUUGUAAACUGCUUUUGUACGGAACGAAAAGACUCCUUCUAAUAAAGGGGGUCCAUGACGGUACCGUAAGAAUAAGCACCGGCUAACUACGUGCCAGCAGCCGCCGUAACAC